rnacentral:miRNA from 1 species
AAUCUCAUUGACCGGAAGGGAUUCCUUCCGGUCAAUGAGAUGUAACAAUCUCAUUGACCGGAAGGAAUCCGUUCUGGUCAAUGAGAUU